CAGCCGCCACGGUAAUACGUAGGUCCCGAGCGUUGUCCGGAUUUAUUGGGCGUAAAGCGAGCGCAGGCGGCUAGAUAAGUCUGAAGUUAAAGGCUGUGGCUUAACCAUAGUACGCUUUGGAAACUGUUUAACUUGAGUGCAAGAGGGGAGAGUGGAAUUCCAUGUGUAGCGGUGAAAUGCGUAGAUAUAUGGAGGAACACCGGUGGCGAAAGCGGCUCUCUGGCUUGUAACUGACGCUGAGGCUCGAAAGCGUGGGGAGCAAACAGGAUUAGAUACCCGGGUAGUCCCUGUCUCUUAUACU
rnacentral:rRNA from 1 species